rnacentral:rRNA from 1 species
AUUGAACGCCGGCGGCAGGCUUAACACAUGCAAGUCGAGCGGAGAUGAGGUGCUUGCACCUUAUCUUAGCGGCGGACGGGUGAGUAAUGCUUAGGAAUCUGCCUAUUAGUGGGGGACAACAUUCCGAAAGGAAUGCUAAUACCGCAUACGUCCUACGGGAGAAAGCAGGGGAUCUUCGGACCUUGCGCUAAUAGAUGAGCCCAAGUCGGAUUAGCUAGUUGGUGGGGUAAAGGCCUACCAAGGCGACGAUCUGUAGCGGGUGUGAGAGGAAGAUCCGCCACACUGGGACUGAGACACGGCCCAGACUCCUACGGGAGGCAGAAGUGGGGAAUAUUGGACAAUGGGGGAAACCCUGAUCCAGCCAUGCCGCGUGUGUGAAGAAGGCCUUAUGGUUGUGAAGCACUUUAGGCGAGGAGGAGGCUACUGAGACUAAUACUCUUGGAUAGUGGACGUUACUCGCAGAAUAAGCACCGGCUAACUCUGUGCCAGCCGCCGCCGUAA